UACGAGGGGGGCGAGCGUUGUUCGGAAUUAUUGGGCGUAAAGGGCGCGUAGGCGGUGCGGUAAGUCACCUGUGAAACCUCUAGGCUUAACCUAGAGCCUGCAGGCGAAACUGCCGUGCUGGAGUGUGGGAGAGGUGCGUGGAAUUCCCGGUGUAGUGGUGGAAUGCGUAGAUAUCGGGAGGAACACCAGUGGCGAAAGCGACGCUCUGGUCCAUAACUGACGCUGAGGUGCGAAAGCGUGGGGAGCGAACGGG
rnacentral:rRNA from 1 species